UCGCGGAGAUAAACGCCAUGGAGGAAAGGAAGCUUCAGCGACGGUGAGCGAGCAUCAAACCAGAGAGAGAGAGAGAGAGAGAGAGAGAAGGCAAAAUGGCGAACCGGCGGUUGCAGCGUCAGCAUCAGUGGCGGCGGGCGGAUCUCACUUCUGCAAGAGUCGUCAGAUAACAGAAGCCAUGUGAGUUGACAGGAAUGUGUCGAGGCGUGUGAUUUUCCUGUACUCGCGAUCCUUAUAAGCGGAGCUUGAAAUUAUGGAGUAAAGAGUGAGUGAUGCAAAUAAAUAAACAGAUCCAUAGAAGUAGGUAUCUUAAGAGUUCUAGUAUUGAACUAAUAUAUUUCUUAAGAAAUUUGAAGGUGGAUUUGGCUU